GAAUAUGAGGGCCUUCUGGCUGCAACAUCUGUCACACCAUUGAUCACUGACUGGCUUGGUGGGUGUCCCCUUCCUCCCUCACUGUUCCACAUGUGUCCCUCUGGAAGCUGUGGACUCAGUCAAAGAGGACAACCCCCCCCCCCAAAGAAUGGACCACUCUUUGUUCAAGGGUAUAUGAGUAGCUGGAGCUACCUGCUAGAACCUUCUAACAGCUUUCAGAAAAGGAGGGAAGUGGGGAGACAGAGAAGCAGAGG
rnacentral:snRNA from 1 species